UACGAAGGGUGCAAACGUUGUUCGGAAUUACUGGGCGUAAAGCGAGUGUAGGCGGUCUGAAAAGUCAGGUGUGAACGCCCUGGGCUCAACCCAGGAAGUGCACUUGAAACUGCCAGGCUAGAGUAUCGGAGAGGUUGGUGGAAUUCUCGGUGUAGAGGUGAAAUUCGUAGAUAUCGAGAGGAACACCGGUGGCGAAGGCGGCCAACUGGACGAAUACUGACGCUGAGGUGCGAAAGCGUGGGGAGCAAACAGG
rnacentral:rRNA from 1 species